UACAGAGGGGGCAAGCGUUAUUCGGAAUUAUUGGGCGUAAAGGGCGCGUAGGCGGCUUUGCAAGUGACGGGUGAAAUCCCUCGGCUUAACCGAGGAACUGCCUGUCAAACUGCAUGGCUUGAGACCGGGAGAGGUGAGUGGAAUUCCCAGUGUAACGGUGAAAUGCGUAGAUAUUGGGAGGAACACCAGUGGCGAAGGCGGCUCACUGGACCGGUACUGACGCUGAUGCGCGAAAGCGUGGGGAGCAAACAGG
rnacentral:rRNA from 1 species